AAUAGAUACCCGGGUAGUCCACGCCGUAAACGGUGGGCACUAGGUGUGGGCGACAUUCCACGUCGUCCGUGCCGCAGCUAACGCAUUAAGUACCCCGCCUGGGGAGUACGGCCGCAAGGCUAAAACUCAAAGGAAUUGACGGGGGGCCCGCACAAGCGGCGGAGCAUGUGGCUUAAUUCGACGCAACGCGAAGAACCUUACCAAGGCUUGACAUACACCGGAAACGUCCAGAGAUGGGCGCCCCCUUGUGGUCGGUGUACAGGUGGUGCAUGGCUGUCGUCAGCUCGUGUCGUGAGAUGUUGGGUUAAGUCCCGCAACGAGCGCAACCCUUGUCCCGUGUUGCCAGCAGGCCCUUGUGGUGCUGGGGACUCACGGGAGACCGCCGGGGUCAACUCGGAGGAAGGUGGGGACGACGUCAAGUCAUCAUGCCCCUUAUGUCUUGGGCUGCACACGUGCUACAAUGGCCGGUACAAUGAGCUGCGAUACCGCGAGGUGGAGCGAAUCUCAAAAACGCCGGUCUCAGUUCGGUAUUGGGGUCGUGCAACUCGA
rnacentral:rRNA from 1 species